rnacentral:lncRNA from 1 species
CCAGCACCCGCCCGGCGAGGCAGCGUGGGCAGUGACGUCAUCGUCAUCGUUAUCAUCGCCGUUAGGGCUGUCGAUGCUCGGGCGGGCGGACGUGCCACGGCGUCUGUCACACGACAAGAUGAGUGGCCUCCCCCGGAGGAGACCGGCCGCGGACACGACUCGUUGGGAGAAGCAGCGUCUCCUGCUCCCCGACCUGGGCACGCCCCGGGCAUCCGCACCUGAGAAACACCUGCCGCCCCGAGCGCCUUGCUCCUUCCGAGGGCGCCCACACCGAGGCCUGGGAGCUCCGGCCCCGUGCUCACGAAGCCCUACUGUCCUCGCGAAGGUAAGGAGACCAGAGGCCGACCUCAGGCCUAAAUUUGACAACCUCGUGUUCCUGACUAUGAGAAAACCUCUCUUGUUAUAGAAGAAAGAGUCUCCUAAAGAAGAAACUCAGGAAUGAUCACAUCCCCGGAGAGCUCAGGUCUCCAACAUUCUCAAUCUUCGAAACUUCGGUGUGUUUUACUUUAUACUGUGCCACAUCCGACACGUCAUCAACCAGUUUUUGGUAUUAAUUUCUAAAUUGGAUUUUCGCCUAAAUUUGUUGGUCAGUGUGUUUCCUGUCAGAAUUCUGCAAAGUGUCGGGAUUCCGUGGUAGACUCUGUUUCAUAAUCCGGUUUGAAAGUUUUUUAUUUUAUUUUAUUUUAUUUUAUUUUAUUUUAUUUUAUUUAUUUUAUUUAUUU